rnacentral:lncRNA from 1 species
GUUAGUUUGAUUGGGCUUGAAAGUCUUAGCACGAUACCACUGCACCAUACCUAUUUUUCUUCUCUCAGAGGAUCGAUAUCCUGUUGAGGAUAAAUCCUCAAGUAUGCCAAAAGACUUGUUUAACAUCUGAAGUAUUUCUUUUGACUAAGCAUCAUAAAAUUUACAACUAAAUUUAUCACUCAUAGCAGCCCUCAUUAUACAACAUACUGUCAUACAGUUAUUAAGCCACUU